UUUUUUUUCUCUUGUAACAACCAUAUUUCUUAUUUUACAACUAAGUUUCUUCUUCUUCUUUUUUGU
rnacentral:sRNA from 1 species